rnacentral:rRNA from 1 species
CAAAAAAAAUCCUGAGAUGACUUGAGAGUAGGAGCGAAAGACUAAUCAAACCCCGUGAUAGCUGGUUCUCUUCGAAAUCGCUUGAGGGCGAGCGUCGGGAAAGUAAACCGUGGAGGUAGAGCACUGGAUGGCUUAGAGUCCACACCAGGAUAUCAAAACCAAUCAAACUCCGAAUUCCACGGGAUCCAUUACCCCGGCAUUCAGACGGUGGGGGAUAAGCUCCAUCGUCGAAAGGGCAACAGUCCAGAUCGUCGGCUAAGGUGCCUAAACGUCGUUAAGUGGAAAGGAUGUGAAGUUACUCAGACAGUGAGGAUGUUGGCUUAGAGGCAGCCACCAUUUAAACAGUGCGUAAUAGCUGACUCAUCGAGUGAUUUCGCGCCGAAAAUGAUUGGCGAUAAAUGACGUACCGAAGCCACGAAUGCCAUCGCGGUUCGCCGUGGUGGCGUGGUAGAAGAGCGUGAACGGUGCAGUGAAGCAGAACCGAAAGGGGACGUGGAGCGCCGUUCAGUGAGAAUGCAGACACGAGUAGCGAUAAACCAGAUGAGAAUUCUGGUCGCCGUAAACCCAAGGUUUCCUGGGCCAGGUUCGUCCUCCCAGGGUCAGUCGGGAGCUAAGAUGAGGUCGUAAGACGUAAUCGAUGCACAGCCGGUCAACAUUCCGGCACCGACGUGGUUUAAACCGUUGAUGACGCAAGGAGAAAAAUGGCGGAAUCAUUGAAAGAUUCGGCUUAGGAGCAAUCCGAAGCAUGCCAUCGGACAACUUGUCGAGAAAAGUCAGCGGCCCUUUGCCACGUUGCCCGUACCGCAAACCGACACAGGUGGGUGGGUGUAAGUGCACCAAGGCGCGCGAGAGAGACCUCUCUAAGGAACUCGGCACAUUAGCCCCGUAACUUCGGGAAAAGGAGUGCUCGCUUCUGCGAGCCACAGUAAAUUGCGUUUAGCGACUGUUUAACAAAAACACAGCACUCUGCCACGUCGUUAAGACAACGUAUAGGGUGUGACAAGUGACCAAUGCGGAAAGAUCAAGGCAAGGGGUUAGCCGCAAGGCGAAGCUCUGAACCUAAGUCCCCGUGAAUGUCGGCCGUAACUAUAACGGUCCUAAGGUAGCGAAAUUCCUUGUCGGGUAAGUUCCGACCUGCACGAAUCUUGUAACGACUGAACGACUGUCUCGGAGAGGUUCUCGGCGAAACUGUAACGGCGGUGAAGAUGCCGCCUGCCCGCAGUAGGACGGAAAGACCCUAUGCACCUUUACUGUAAGCUCGUAUUGGCUUCUGGUUGAUGAUGCUUAGCGUAGGUGGGAGACUUUGAAGGCAUGGCUUCGGUUGUGCUGGAGUCGAAAUGUGAAACACCACUCUUUGUCAACUAGGAGUCUAACCUCGAUCCCGUUAGCCGGGCGAGGGACAGUGCGUGCGGGUCAGUUUGGCUGGGACGGCUUCCUCCCG